CUUGGUCAUUUAGAGGAAGUAAAAGUCGUAACAAGGUUUCCGUAGGUGAACCUGCGGAAGGAUCAUUACAGAGAACAUGCCCUUUAGGGGGUAUAUCUCCCACCCUUUGUUUACAAUACCUUUGUUGCUUUGGUGGGCCCGUCUUUUAGACCACCGGCCUUGGCUGGUCUGUGCCCACCAGAGGACCAAACAAUUCCUUUUAUUAUGUUGUCUGAGUCUAAAUAAUUUUUAUAAAACUUUCAACAACGGAUCUCUUGGUUCUGGCAUCGAUGAAGAACGCAGCGAAAUGCGAUAAGUAAUGUGAAUUGCAGAAUUCAGUGAAUCAUCGAAUCUUUGAACGCACAUUGCACCCUCUGGUAUUCCAGGGGGUAUGCCUGUUCGAGCGUCAUUACAACCCUCAAGCACUGCUUGGUAUUGGAUGUCACCGUUGGUGUAUCUCAAAAGUAUUAGCAGUAACAUUCAGCUUCUAGCGUAGUAAAUUUCUAGCUUUGGAGCUAAGUGUCUAAUUGUUAGAACCUCUAAUUUAUCAAAGGUUGACCUCGGAUCAGGUAGGGAUACCCGCUGAACUUAAGCAUAUCAAUAAGCGGAGGA
rnacentral:sRNA from 1 species